GUGUAGACAGAGAGCCCUUUGAGGAAAGGGUCAUCAUCUCAGCACCCAACAUCCGGGAGAAACUCAAGAAACGCUGGGCGAUCCAGGGGUUAUAAUGAGCUUGGAGCAUAACUUUUGCUACCCUUGCCUCACAUUUACACAAACCAAUGAAGACAUGCUAAAUACCUGUUUAAUUUCUCACCACCUGCCUUUCCCACGAGGUGAACUACUACGGAAGUCCCUGCUUAUAGAAAGUAGAAGCCAAGAACAGUCAUCAAAAGGUUGCAAAAUGAACUUUUAUUUCAUAUCUUCUUUAUGCCCUUGUGUUAAGCGUGAUGGACAUGCUGAAGAAAUACUGCAAAGCCUAAGAUAUGACAGACAUGAGACAAACUCUGGACUUCCAGAAAAAAAA